CCUACGGGUGGCAGCAGUGGGGAAUAUUGGGCAAUGGGCGCAAGCCUGACCCAGCAACGCCGCGUGAAGGAAGAAGGCUUUCGGGUUGUAAACUUCCUUUAAGCGGGAAGAGCAGAAGACGGUACCUCUUGAAUAAGCCACGGCUAACUACGUGCCAGCAGCCGCGGUCAUACGUAGGUGGCCAGCGUUGUCCGGAUUUACUGGGUGUAAAGGGCGUGUAGCCGGGCUGACAAGUCAGAUGUGAAAUUCCGGGGCUCAAACCUGGACCUGCAUUUGAAACUGUUGGUCUUGAGUAUCUGAGAGGCAGGCGGAAUGCCUAGUGUAGCGGUGAAAUGCGUAGAUAUUAGGAAGAACUCCAGUGGCGAAGGCGGCAUGCUGGACGUCAACUGACGGUGAGGCGCGAAAGCGUGGGGAGCGAACAGGAUUAGAUACCCGGGUAGUC
rnacentral:rRNA from 1 species